UAGUGCUGCAAUGUAAACAUUGCAGUUUCUUUGAAAUUGCAAUGUUUUCAUUGCAGCACUA
rnacentral:miRNA from 1 species